rnacentral:tRNA from 1 species
GGGGAAUUAGUUCAAAUGGUAGUGCGUUCGCUUUGCAUGCGCGAGGUAGCAGAAUCGAUGCCUGCAUUCUCCA